ensembl:lncRNA
AAUCUCAACAAGAGAUACCAUUUGUAAAAGAAGAAGUGGAAAAGCCGCAAGAACCAAUUGAUGCAUGGGUUGCAAAGGAGUUUAAUGAGGUGAUGAAGGCUGUACAAGAACAAGUGGAGUCUUCCGAUUCAGAAACACAAGCAUUUGUUGAACCAAAUUUUGACACCAAGUCCAGCAGUCCAGCCUCUGAAUGUGAGCCUGAAGAAUUUCUCCAAAACCAACUGGGUGAGAUUGUCCAAGAAGAUUUCACCUUUGACAGUGUUGGUGCAUCAAUGGAUGGGAUUAGUCCACCCAAAGACAAGUUAUACCCUGAUGGAGAGGAGAUGGACACAUGGGAUAGUGUCAUGGAACGAAAUCAAGGUCUGAAGGCUGACGAUUUGGAGCAACCUCAAGAAGUUUUAAAGCAACAUGCUGAACCAGAGGAGGACAUUUCGGCAAGAGAGGUACAGCAGCAAAUGCAAGAAGUGAUCUCAGUUGAAGAGAUGCAAGCCAAAUUUAAACCACAAAUUGGCACUGAAGGACAAGAGGACUCAAUAAAAGAAGACCUUCCAGACAAAAGCGAAGAUGAAGAACAAGAAGAUUCUCAAAAUGUCUCUGUGUCAUGGCAGACCGAACUUGAGGGAGACAGCUAUGCCCAGGAUAACACUCUUGCCGACACCAGACCUCUGAUCAGAUACAAGAGUGAUGAAACAGACGCCAACACACAAGCAUCACAUGCUGAUGAUGUUGAUGAUUCCAGUGAUGGAGAGCAAGAUAAAAAAGUUGGAGAGAUGGGAAGUGGUGCAUGGAUUGAGGACCAGACCAGACGGUUCGGAACUAUGGAGGAUCUGUGUGAAGAGGCAGAAGGGGAAGUUUUGGAUGAGGAAUAUGAUCUAGAAUACCUUAGACAAGAUGGGAAGGAAGACAAAGAUGAAAUAGAUACACAGAAAGAUGAAGAUAAGACACAAGAGGAAGCCCUAAAAAUGGUGGUUGAUGAAAAGUUAGAUACUGACAAGUGGGUGGAACAGGAGUUAGAAAAUUUGACGACAGAAUAUUAUGCCACACAUUUUGAGCACCAGCAUGCUAGUGCAAAAUUCACAUUGCAAGAUGAGAUUGUAGCUGAUCAACCAAUAGCUUGGGGUAAAGCUUUAGAAGGCAUGCCAGAAACCACUGACCAGGAGGAAGCUCUAGUUGACCAAAACAUUGAUGAGCACUUUAAAGAACCACAACAGCAAAAAGACAAAGUAGUCAAAGAAGUUCAGGAAUCAGUUGAAGUUGAGGAGGAAGAUAAGCAUGAUGUAUCCAUGGUGACACAUUGUGACACUACAGAGGACAUUAGUGAAGUCAGGAAAGAAAUUGUAUUGUCUUCCACUAGUCAAGAGUUGUCUUUUGACAAUUUGUCCUUUGAACAGAAAGAGCCUGAAGAGCUGGGAGAACAAGCAGAAGAGACGCAGUCCAUUCUUCAAGAUACACUAACUGAACAUGUGAAUCAAUUCAUCACCAUAAAUGAAAAUGAGUCCAACAAACUUCUGCUAUCCUCUACUGUCCUAGAAGUGACUCCCGAUAAUGUUGUUGAACAACAACAGCAAAAAGACGAUGCAGUCAAAGAAGUUCAGGAAUUUGUUGAAGUUGAGGAGGAAGAUAAGCAUGAUGUAUCCAUGGUGACGCAUUGUGACACUACAGAGGACAUUAGUGAAGUCAGGAAAGAAUUUGUAUUGUCUUCCACAAGUCAAGAGUUGUCUUUUGACAAUUUGUCCUUUGAACAGAAAGAGUCUGAAAACCUAGGAGAACAAGCAGAAGAGAAGCAGUCGAUUGUUCAAGAUACGCUAACUGAACAUAUGGAUCAAUUUAUCAAUGAAAAUGAUUUCAACAAACUUCUGCUAUCCUCUGCCAUUCAAGAAGUGACUCCCGAUAAUGUGGAAAUGAGGGAUAUCACACCUGAAGAAAGCUUUGUGCCUGAAGAAAUAGAUACAGAAUUCUCUAAAGCUCUAGCAACAACUGAAUGGGAAGUUCUUGAAAAUCCUACAGAAAAUGUUCACCAAGAUGACAAAGUUGAGCAUGAUUCCUUGUCACCCACGGAUGAGCCCCUAAACAUAUCCCCUGAAAGUGUUCAUGAAGCCACUAAUCUCUUUAUUGUAAAGGACUCAAAGGAGCUGCUGAAAACUAAUGGCAAAACUAGCCUGGAUGACAUGUUUAGCAUCAAUGCCAAUAAUGACUUCUGGGUAUCCCCAUUAGAAACAGGUGCCACAUAUCAACCUGAUAAUGUAGAUAAUAAGCAUGCGGAAUGGAAGCUAGGUUUUGGAGAUGCAGACGGUAGGGAGACAGAGGAAUUAGUUGAAAAAUCGGAUAUUGUUUAUGAGCAAAAAGAAGUUUCACAAAUUUUCACCAAAAGUGUUGUCAAGGGAGAAAUAGUCCAUUCUGAGGAGUCUGAAGAUGAUAGUGAAGCAAUGUCUUCUGAUGAGGAAUAAGAUAUAAGAACAUAUAGUUUUAUUGUAGUUAAUAAUUUCAAAGGAUAUCAGUGGAACCAAAACCGUGCCUUGGGGUGCACCAUCAUCCACCACCGUGCCAAUACUGUUUGCUAUGACAAGUACUUACAUCUUCCCUAUUAUUGAUGGAUUUUUACUGACCACUUGCUUUAGUCCUGGUGCAUUCUAUAGAAAGGUUUAUCUGCAUGAAAGAACAAAGAGUGUAAUUUGAAAGUUGAAGCAUUUAUUGAUUUGUGGCUAAUCCAAUUCAAUGACUGAUGGAAAAAAAAACAAUUAGAGCAGAAGGGUAGAGUUGCUAUUUUACACAGUAUGAGCUUAUAUUUGCGAAUAAGUA